rnacentral:RNase_P_RNA from 1 species
UGAGGACGGUAGGCGGUCGCCCGCGCGAGCGGGAGGAAAGUCCGGACAUCGCAGGGCAAUCCGCCGGUUGAAAAACCGGACGCUGACGGUGAAGCGUCAGUGAUGGAAAGUGUCACAGAAAACAUACCGCCCGUGAGGGCAAGGGUGAAAAGGUGGUGCAAGAGACCACCGCGCGAAGGGUAACCGACGCGGCAUGACAAACCCCGGAUGGUGCAAGGCCGAACAGGAAGUUAUGGCUGCCCGCCAGCCGCGAGGCGCUUCCGGGUAGGCCGCAUAGAUAAAUGACCGCCACCCCGCGAGGGGUACAGAAUCCGGCUUAUCGCCACCUGAAGGG